rnacentral:tRNA from 1 species
GUCUUUCUAGUAUAUUAGUACAGUUGACUUCCAAUCAACAAGAUUGAUAAUUAAUUCAAGAAAAACA